rnacentral:rRNA from 1 species
AUUGAACGCUGGCGGCAGGCUUAACACAUGCAAGUCGAGCGAGCGGCGGACGGGUGAGCUAUGUCUGGGACACUGCCUGAUGGAGGGGGAUAACUACUGGAAACGGUUGCUAAUACCGCAUACCAUCAGAUGUGCCCAGAUGGGUUUAGCUAGUAGGUGGGGUAAUGGCACACCACGGCGACGAUCCCUAGCUGGUCUGAGAGGAUGACCAGCCACACUGGAACUGAGACACGGUCCAGACGCCUACGGGAGGCAGCAGUGGGGAAUAUUGCACAAUGGGCGCAAGCCUGAUGCAGCCAUGCCGCGUGUGUGAAGAAGGCCUUCGGAUUGUAAAGCACUUUCAGCGAGGAGGCGUUACUAGCAGAAGAAGCACCGGCUAACUCCGUGCCAGCAGCCGCGGUAAUAC